GCCGGAUCCGGCCCGCGGGCCGUAGUUUGGAGACCCCUGUUCUAGAACAUAAUAGGUCAAUGUCUAUGUUGUUCCUCUAUCUAAUGUAGACUUUAAUAGACAAAAAGAAUACAUUGGCUAAACCAAGAUGAAUCUAAGAAACAGAUUGGCUGAGCACAAAAGAGAUUUGAAAUCAGGUGAGCUAAAACCUGAGGCUUACAAGCAUAAUAUGCAUAUAGAAAGAGAUAAGGCAAAAAUCAUACAACCCUAUAAUAUCCCUUGGAAAGAAAUGAUUACAGAAUCAUUACAAAUUCUAAAAAAGGUCUUAUUCAAAAAAUGUUAUCAAAGACCGUCCAAGAGAUAAUGUCUCG
rnacentral:lncRNA from 1 species